GACGAACGCUGGCGGCGUGCCUAAUACAUGCAAGUAGAACGCAGUUGCGAACGGGUGAGUAACGCGUAGGUAACUGCCUCGUAGCGGGGGAUAACUAUUUGAAACGAUAGCUAAUACCGCAUACUGUGAGAUAGACCGGCUUUGUAUUAGCUAGUUGGUGAGGUAAAGGCUCGCCAAGGCGACGAUACAUAGCCGACCUGAGAGGGUGAAUGGCCACACCGGGACUGGUACACCGCCCAGACGCCUACCGGAGGCAGCAGGAGGGAAUCUUCGGCAAUGGACGGCAGGCUGACUGAGCCACGCCGGGGUAGUGAAGAAGGUUUUCGGAUCGUAAAGCUAUGUUGUUCGAGAAGCGGUAACUACCCAGAAAGCGACGGCUAACUACGUGCCAGCAGCCGCGGUAAUAC
rnacentral:rRNA from 1 species